rnacentral:rRNA from 1 species
CUACGGGUUGCUGCAGUGAGGAAUAUUGCGCAAUGGGGGAAACCCUGACGCAGCGACGCCGCGUGGAUGAUGAAGGCUUUCGGGUCGUAAAAUCCUGUCAGAAGGGAAGAAAUGCUAUAUGCCUAAUAUGUGUAUAGUUUGACGGUACCUUCAAAGGAAGCACCGGCUAACUCCGUGCCAGCAGCCGCGGUAAUACGGAGGGUGCAAGCGUUGUUCGGAAUUACUGGGCGUAAAGCGCGCGUAGGCGGCCUUGUAAGUCAGAUGUGAAAGUCCACGGCUCAACCGUGGAAGUGCAUUUGAUACUGGGAGGCUUGAGUACUGGAGGGGAUGGUGGAAUUCCCGGUGUAGAGGUGAAAUUCGUAGAUAUCGGGAGGAAUACCGGUGGCGAAGGCGACCAUCUGGCCAGAUACUGACGCUGAGGUGCGAAAGCGUGGGGAGCAAACAGGAUUAGAUACCCCAGUAGUC